GUCCUUAUGCAAGGGAAAUACGCAUAUCAGUGAGGAUUCGUCCGAGAUUGUGUUAUUUUGCUGAUUUAAAAAGAAAAAAUAGUAACCAGAUUAUUAAAAUUUUUUUUUAAAA